CCACAAUGUCAGGUACUGAGGGGAGAGAAAAGUGGAGAGAGAGAGAGAAUAUGAAGGAGUGUAGUGUGAUGAAAACAUAAACAUGGAGUAAAAUGAAUAAUUUUAGCAAACUGUUUCUAUCACGAUUGAGUGUUUCCUCCUCCUCCUUGCGUAUUUUCCUUCUUACUCGCGAUUCAUGUUUCGGCCAGGCGCUGGACUCAGAGAGCUGACCGACACAACAACCUGUUUAUGUGUUAAUCCUUGUUGAUGACUUCUUAUGCUUUAAAGAAGCUAAUUACCUAAUUACCCUGGGGGUCAUUAUAAGGAGCCCCCUUUACACACACACACACACACACAUAUACACACACACACACACACGGGCACUCAAGCAUACACUCACACACACAAACAUACACACACACACUUAUAAAAGGCUGGGAGAAUGGGGGUAAGGUGGGUGGAGGGGCAGGGAGAAUGAAUAUGGGAAUGGGAGGGGUUAGACUGGAGGAUGGGAGGGGUUAGACUGGAGGAGUCAUGUGAAAGUGUAUGCCGUCAAUCAUCUGUCUCACUAACCCUUUGGCAGGGGUUCUCCACACACACACACACACACACACAGUCUUGGCUGAUAUGAGGGAGAUUCUGAUAUUUCUCCCAGUGAAGUGACCUUGUACUGAAUGAUUUGCUGGAAUGUGCCCUGAAGUUCAAGUCAGUCUGAACACACACACGCACACAAACACACACACACACACACACACACACACAUUUUGAACAUUGAUUCAUGUUCUCAGUAUCCUCACUGAGGAGUACAGACGGUCAGUCGCCACUCUUUUUUCUCCUUCACCUUCCUUCCUUUCUUUUCCUGCCUUCCAUUCCUAGCUAUUAUCCCAUCUCACGUGGGGGGAGGGGGUUCUGGGUAAGAUUUACAAUGAUGACGACGACGAUGAGGAAGAUGAGGAUGACAGUGAUGCUGAAAAGGACAGUAAUAAAAAAAUCAUGUUGCAAGGAUUAUGACAACAAUGAGAAGAAAGAUGGUUUCACGGAGGGUGUUGUUAAGCACUUCUGGUUGUUUUACCUUAGGCCUCUCAAGUGCAGCCAUGCGGCCGAAAGACCCUUUCAAUACUGCCACCUUCAGGACAGAACCCGUCAUUGAUGAUGCUAAGUGUCACUGUGAAAUAUAUCAAUUAAUAGCUUAUUACUACUCUACUAGUGGUGAUGGUGUAGUUAUUACUACACCUAGAGAUGAUAACAGUGGUGAUGGUGUAGUUAUUACUACACCUAGAUAUGAUAACAGUGGUGAUGGUGUAGUUAUUACUACACCUAGAGAUGAUAACAGUGGUGAUGGUGUAGUUAUUACUACACCUAGAGAUGAUAACAGUGGUGAUGGUGUUAUUACUACACCUAGAGAUGAUAACAGUGGUGAUGGUGUUAUUACUACACCUAGAGAUGAUAACAGUGGUGAUGGUGUAGUUAUUACUACACCUAGAGAUGAUAACAGUGGUGAUGGUGUAGUUAUUACUACACCUAGAGAUGAUAACAGUGGUGAUGGUGUUAUUACUACACCUAGAGAUGAUAACAGUGGUGAUGGUGUUAUUACUACACCUAGAGAUGAUAACAGUGGUGAUGGUGUUAUUACUACACCUAGAGAUGAUAACAGUGGUGAUGGUGUUAUUACUACACCUAGAGAUGAUAACAGUGGCGAUGGUGUAGUUAUUACUUAUUGCCAUGAUGAUCGGGAAUAGACUGCCGUAUCGAGGUAAUGGUAAGAAUCUCUCAAUUAACUAUCUAAUGUUAGCUAAAUGUAGUAAUGAAUAAAUUGGCAACAUUUAUUUAAAUUGACAAUUCUGUGAACUGUCUUGAAAAAGUUUUAUAUUGACACAAUACCUGUUAGCAAAGGUGUCAGCAAGAGAUGACAUGCCGGAGCUUGCAGGGAUUUGUAGUUUUGCAUGAUGCCUACUUUGAUGCUAAUUAGCAUUAUUCUAAUCUGAGAGUAAAUAGAGCCGCAUAUAGUGAUAAAAGUCACUUUUUCUGAUAGAAAUGUAGACUUUUAUCAAAACGUCACACCAGGGUAUGCCUACACAAAACACAGACCUUAUUAUAAGUGUUUCUAAUUGUUGUUAGUUUGUUAGUUUGUUGGCCUAGCCAGUCUCCAGAUCUCAACCUCAUAGAAAAUCUUUAGAGGGAGUUGAAAGUCCGUGUUGCCCAGCAACAGCUCCAAAACAUCACUGCUCUAGAGGAGAUCUGCAUGGAGGAAUGGGCCAAAUUACCCAAAACCUUGUGAAGACUUACAGAAAACAUUUGACCUCUGUCAUUGCCAACAAAGGGUAUAUAACAAAGUAUUGAGAUAAACUUUUGUUAUUGACCAGAUACUUAUUUUCCACCAUAAUUUGCAAAUAAAUUCAUAAAAAAAUCCUACAAUGUGAUUUUCUGGAUUUUUUUCCCCUCAUUUUGUCUGUCAUAGUUGAAGUGUACCUAUGAUGAAAAUUACAGGCCUCUCAUCUUUUUAAGUGGGAGAACUUGCACAAUUGGUGGCUGACUAAAUACUUUUUUGCCCCACUGUAUGUGCAUAUUCUAGAUUCUGGGCCUGAUGAAUAGGCAGUUUCAUUUGGGUAUGUUUUUCAUCCAAACAUCAAAAUACUGCCCCCUACACUCAAGAGGUUUUAUACAGUAUCGCUUAGCACUAGUGACAGUAGGGAUAGGUCAGAUCUAUUGUGUGUAUUUCUGUGUUGGUGACAGUAGGGAUAGGUCAGAUCUAUCGUAUGUAUUUCUGUGUUGACAGUAGGGAUAGGUCAGAUCUAUUGUGUGUAAUUCUGUGUUGGUGACAGUAGGGAUAGUUUAAAUCUAUUGUGUGUAUUUCUAUGUUGGUGACAGUAGGGAAGGUGGAAUGGGGAGGAUCAAAGUGUCCUGAUUGAUCUGUCUGGUUCCACCCACCUGUUCUGUCUGGAAUGUUCCUCUCCUGGCAGCGGGUGUGUGUACGGGUGUGUUAUGUCUAUGAGAAGCUUUGUGUGUCUGUAUGUGUGUGUUCACAUCUGUUACCAGGUGGAUGUCAAUGUGUGUGUGUGUGUGUGUGUGUGUGCAGUCUGUUUCAACACGUCUAUGUAAUUUAAGGGAAAAUGAUCAUCUGGAGCUGGAAUAUGUGCUCAUGUCUGUCUGCCAC
rnacentral:lncRNA from 13 species